rnacentral:rRNA from 1 species
UACAGAGGUCCCAAGCGUUGUUCGGAUUCAUUGGGCGUAAAGGGUGCGUAGGCGGCGCGGUAAGUCGGGUGUGGAAUCUCGGGGCUUAACUCCGAAACUGCAUUCGAUACUGCCGUGCUUGAGGACUGGAGAGGAGACUGGAAUUUACGGUGUAGCGGUGAAAUGCGUAGAUAUCGUAAGGAAGACCAGUGGCGAAGGCGGGUCUCUGGACAGUUCCUGACGCUGAGGCAUGAAGGCCAGGGGAGCAAACGGG